AAUCGUUUGUGUCGAUUAUUUAGUGUUCAAAAUAAGGUAUAAAUAACAAAUAUACAAGUAAAUGAUAAACUUGCAUAUGUAUUUGAUAUUUGUGCGAACAAAGUGUGAAGGUACGUAAAUAUACGUGAACAACGCCUUAGACAUUUCUCCCAGAGUAAUGAUAUUUUGUCUUAAUCCGGAUAUGCUUAAUUUUAUGUCGUCUUCCGAGACAGACGUGUGUGCAUAGAUAAAUCACCGCGUAUACACUGUCCCUGUUUGCGUGUGUGCGGUUAACCGGGCGGUUAAUAACGUUGGCCACGACAAUUGGCCACUGUUUUAUUUUAUACGUCUAUACGGUAUACCGCGCGUUAUCGGCCAAUGAUUAAAUGCGUGUCCGUGAUGUCCUUGGACGUCCGUCGUCCUUGGGAAAAUGAAAAACGACGGCUUCUAUCGUAUAGAUACGACAAAAUAAUAUAAUACCGUAUAAUUACCAAGAAUCCAUAUCCGAUUUAAAAACUUUUACGAUUCAUACGAUGCUAUAUUAAACAACCGCGCGAUAUCGCUAUAGAAAACAAAUUUACGAAUAGCGAUAUGUUUCGCUUGCAUAAUAUUGUUUUCGAAUUCGGAAUUCUAAGCGAUGAUCGCAUUGCUGUUUUGUAGUUUUCACUGGAUUUGGAUUUUUGUGUAUUAAUUUUCAGGACGACAUCUUCAUGGGCGACAGAUAGUGAUAAUCGUGAAAAAUACAAAAACAACCAACUUUGGCACUUUCGGAUUUCAGUACCAAACCUUGACAGUAUGAUAUACUGUUUUCUAUACAGCUCAUAAAUAAAAAUCUGUGCUAGGAUCAUGGGGACAGGUGCAGGUACUGUUUUAGGUGGAAAGUUGGGA